GUUGUUUACAUAAUUAAGGCCAGUAUGUAAGGAUGAGCUUCUAUUUUGAUGUGUGGAAGUGUUCACUUCUGUAAUAACUGAAAAACCCAAAAAUACCACUGCAGAGUAAAACAUUUUUUAAAAAAAUACCAUGCAAAUUUUGAAGAAAAAAAAAAGGAAAUGGGUGAAUCAAAUUCCAGUCACUUAAAAUAUAAACAAUGAGGCCUGUUAAUCAGCUGGGACACGUGGUCCGAUCAAUGUUCGCGCCAGUUUCCUGUAGGGACGGCUUGCUGUUAGUUAUUGCAUCUGUCAGCUGAGCUUAUCUUCAUCCUGGGGCCAAAAGGCCCCUCAAAGGCUCAAAGUCCAGGGAACCGCCGCCUUUCUUUCUGGAGGGCAAAUGAAAAGACAAGUCACCUAAUUAACUUACAGGAGUAAAAUAUGAAUGAAACAGGCCAUGAGGGACUCCUUCCAAAAUACACUUUCUUCUGUUUUCCCCCCACCCGCCGCCCCCGCGCGCCGCUUCCCCCAUUCUUUCUAAGCGCAAGCGGUUAAGGACGGGGCAGGGGCCGGCAGAGGAAUUGGGGGUUCCUCCGACUUGGGGGGGGGGUUCCCACUUCCCAGCUCCCCAGGAGAGCGGCGGGUUUUUAAAAGAGGUUGGACGUUAGCAUUCCGAGCACACGUUGCCGCCGAGUAUGGGAAAAAGGAUCGGGCGGCCCAAAGAGCCGGCGCCACUAACUGACGCGCGGAGCGCAAGUGAUCAAGAUUUACUGCAAGAGAGGAGGAAACAGUCCGCUGGCCCGAUUAGAGCUGUGAAUACCGAGUUGUUCAGGGAGGAUUUUGCAGCUGACUGAUCACAGGCUGGCGGAGCAGGCCUCGGACAACAGCUGCAAGGCUUGCUGGCCUGCGGAAACAAAGGGCGCCUAGCAUGGCGCAAAGAAAGAGCUGACAGGUUGUUGUUAGCAGGGGCGAAUGUGUGAGCGUGACAUGUUUGCAUUGCUGGGAGAUUGCAGUGUGGAAGCAGGUUACUUCUUCAAGCCAGCAGAAACAUCACCCAGCUUUCUGGCAUGCUGCAUUUUGUCCUUUGUCCAUCACAUCUGCCAGCACAGUCAAGUGGCUUCAGAAACAGUAUUAUAAUAUUCUGGAAGAUAACCAAAUGACUUAUUUCUUUUAAAAAGAAAAGAAAAGCAAAACUUUCCCCAACCUUCACUGAGCAGUCAGUUUCAAGUCCCCCUACUUAUUUUCUGCCCACUCUGCACUUUACAACUGCGGAAACUUUU
rnacentral:lncRNA from 1 species